AGAGCUGCUUUGAAACUACAUCAAGGAAACUCGAUGAUUUCUUCAACGAAAUAGUAGAAGGAAGGAAGAGCUUUUGGACAUAUGCAGUCAUAGGGAGAAAUAAUUUUGGAUAAAGAAAAUGAACUAGAAAAAAAAUGUUAAAAAAUGAAGCAUUGUCAUCUCUAUUUUAAUGCAUUAAUCUUCAAUGAUGCAUGUUUUUUGUUAAGGCUUUCUUUAAGUGUUUUAUAUAAACUUGAGAAAGAAAUUUUAAGAGUUCUCUUGCUUUAAAGAAAACAUGAAUAUGUAGAGGUUGGUGACUUCAAUAAAAAGAAACAUCUUUCUAUCCGAAGGGAAGCAUUCUCU
rnacentral:lncRNA from 1 species